AAAGUCGUAACAAGGUUUCCGUAGGUGAACCUGCGGAAGGAUCAUUAUUGAAUAAACCACGGCGGGCUGUCUUGCUGGCCUUUUCCCUCCUCCAGGGAGGAGAGAGGGCAUGUGCACGCCCGUCAAAAGUUUCAUUCACAUACCCUUUUCCACCUGUGCACACACUGUGGGCCCCGUUUGAAGGGGGGGAGCCUUGGGCCCUCCCCUUUUUCGGACCUACGUUUUACAACCCUACCCCCUCGAAUAUGAUACGAACGUAGUGACUUGGGCCACCGCGCCUAAUAAAACAUAAUACAACUUUCAACAACGGAUCUCUUGGCUCUC
rnacentral:misc_RNA from 1 species